ACCAGGUCUGAUGGCAGAUAUCACCUCCUCCACCUGCACAGCAUGGCAGCACCCUGAGCAGUGUCACAGGGAGUCAUUAGCUGCACCCCGAGACCCGCUGUCCCACAGCAGUGCCUGCGGGUGGGUGACACCCCCAUGCCCGGACACUGUGCUCACGCUGGGAGCACCCAGCCAGGGUUCGUGGUGGGGACGCCUGAGUCACCCCAUCACCUGACGCCGGGACGUGAAACCACCACCCUCUGUCCCGUUUUUAUCAGCUCUGUGGAACCUUUGUGCAGGCUGGGAGUGGCAUGUUGACAUUUUCCUUGUGCCCAUGGUGACAGCCCUGGUGCAGGGAGCGGUACGGCUGGUUCCACUGCUCAGCGGUGUCACCCCUGCCCGCCGCACCCCCUCCUCACCCAGGCAGGGCCCCGGUAUUUAACGGGUGUCUGCCACCCCGGGAGAGCUGUGCUGAGGACGGUGACCGGGGGUGCUGCUGGUGGCGCUGCCUUCAGAGGGUGCUGCCAGCAUCGCCUCUGCUAGGAGCUUUUCUGCAGAUCUGCUCGGGGGUCGCAGAGGAUGUGGAACCCCAACUCAGGUGUGCCCGGAGGGGUGCCACCACCGCAAGUGCAAAUUUGCCCGCCUGCCCCUCCGGGACACCCUUGUCCCGGCGCUCCAGCAGGUCCCUACCCUGGCUACUCUCCAGUGCCACCCGGUGCCCCUGGAGCCUGUCCCCCAGCCUUCCCAGGUGGCUAUCCCUGUGGUCCCGCUCCACCUGGCCCCUGCCCACCAGGACAGCACCCCAGUGGACAUCCACCACCAGGACAUCAUUCCCAUGGGCACCCCCAUCUGGGACCACCGGGAAUGCCGGGGUGCACACCGUGCCCCCCUAACUCCCAUCAGAAGCACCAUAAGAAGCACAAGAAGAAGCAUUCCAAGCACCACAGAGGCAAGCACUCCAGCUCAAGCAGCUCAAGCAGCAGUUCUGACUCUGACUGAAGAGGACAUCUCCCACCGGCACGGCCAUGAAACACGAAGCCGAACGCCCCGUGGGAACCACCUGCGUGUUGCUCUGCUCCUUUCCCCUUUCGCUUAGAGUAGCGUUUUGCCUGCUGAGUGAUUUUCUUGGUUUUAGCUUGUAAAUUCUUUGACCUGGAAUUGCUGUGAGACGAUGGGCAGCAGCUCCGUCCUCUGUCUUUCAGGAGAGCCCACUGAAAGUCACCCCUGAGGCUGCAGGUAGCAGUGUGGGGAGUAUCACAUGCUGGUUUGCAGUCUGCUGGUGUCUGUGUGUUUUUUCCUGGGCAACGAUGCCGGCUGCUAACGUGGGUCCCACCACCCAUAGCAGCUCAUUCUGCAUGAGCUCUCCCAGCUGUAGCAGAGGGGUCGGCCGAGGAAUGCUUUAACUUACCCCUUGCUGAGCUGUAUGGGUUGCCAUCCUCCACGCCAGGGUAAUAAUUAAUAGGAAAAAUUAGUGAGUUUUCUUUCUGAAGCCCCUGAGCUAUGGCCGUGGGACUGCGGCACACUCACUAGGAAAGGUGAAAAGCCUGGCAGUGCUUUCACUGCAGCAGUUUUAACACAGGGCUGCUUUUGCUGCUCUUUUGUUUUUGUUUUGCCCAUUGUCAUGGCUCAGGAGGGCCCUUCCCAGUCCCGUUACCAGGAAGGCUUUGCUGCCAGCCGGCGUGACUGGCUGCUGGACCCAGCGGCACGCACACGAGCGGCUCACCGUGGCAGAGGGCAUCUCCAAGAGAGGUGGCGCAGCCCAUCUCACCCAGAUGUGCUGCCAGCGCAGCCUUCUCCACCCCUGCUGCACUGCUGGCCGGGCAUGCGGUGCGUGCUGGGGCAGCGGGACUUCACCCCUCCGGCCCCUCGCUGGCUGCGGUCGUGUUUUGUCCUGCGGCCCUCAAAGCUCCCCGAUAGCUCUCCUUUCCAAAGGAAAAAACACGGCAGCAGCACUGCAGCACACGUGGCCGCAGCUCCCCACCGCCGUGUGCCCCGUGCCCCGUGCUGGGGGUCCCCAUGGACAACCCAAGCCCUGCCCAGCCUCUCCUCCCAUCCCACCUCCACCACCGUGGAUGCGACCUUACAGAAAUGCCCCUGUCCUUGGAGGGUUCCCCUGCCCCGCUGUCCUGGCUUGAGACACACAAGUGUUGGAUGCAAGAGGGGCUGAAGAAAGCGUGGGGAAAGCCCGACUGUGGUGCGAUGCCACCUUCGUGGUGGGGAAACAGCCCCCCUCAAAGAGGGGCACCUGAGCACCCCUGCUCUGCUCACCCAUGAAGAGGUGAGGAACAUGACGCAGGUGAGGAACGAAGAGACAGUCUUUGUCGUGCCGAGAGACCACAGUUUGAUGGGCACUGGGGGGGUGCGGGCCAGGGGGCAGAGGAACAGGUCUGCAAGGGGACUGCUGGAGACAGGGGGAGAGCUGGAGGGGCCCCAUCAGCAUUCUGCAGCCCCUCAGGUCCUCAGCAGUGCCCCAUGGCCCCUGCGCUGCUGGGACCCCCGGCCUUGUGCUCCAGCACUUGCAAGGAGAGGCAGAAUACAAACUUAUCUGGACUUAACAGCUUAGCACCAGGAGAAACAGCUGCUCAUUAAAAAUAAUUUUUAAAAAGGAGACAAACCACAAAAUAAAGAGGCUUUUCCAGGA